rnacentral:rRNA from 1 species
UACAGAGGGUGCGAGCGUUGUCCGGAAUCACUGGGCGUAAAGGGCGCGUAGGCGGCUUGAUAAGGUUGCGGUGAAAGCCCGGGGCUCAACCCCGGGUCGGCCGUGGCAACUGUCGAGCUGGAGCACUGUAGAGGCAGGUGGAAUUCCAGGUGUAGCGGUGGAAUGCGUAGAGAUCCGGAAGAACACCGGUGGCGAAGGCGGCCUGCUGGGCAGUGGCUGACGCUGAGGCGCGACAGCGUGGGGAGCAAACAGG